rnacentral:rRNA from 1 species
AGUGAACGCUGGCGGUAGGCCUAACACAUGCAAGUCGAACGGCAGCACAGUAAGAGCUUGCUCUUACGGGUGGCGAGUGGCGGACGGGUGAGGAAUACAUCGGAAUCUACUUUUUCGUGGGGGAUAACGUAGGGAAACUUACGCUAAUACCGCAUACGACCUACGGGUGAAAGCAGGGGAUCUUCGGACCUUGCGCGAUUGAAUGAGCCGAUGUCGGAUUAGCUAGUUGGCGGGGUAAAGGCCCACCAAGGCGACGAUCCGUAGCUGGUCUGAGAGGAUGAUCAGCCACACUGGAACUGAGACACGGUCCAGACUCCUACGGGAGGCAGCAGUGGGGAAUAUUGGACAAUGGGCGCAAGCCUGAUCCAGCCAUACCGCGUGGGUGAAGAAGGCCCUCGUGUUGUAAAGCCCUUUUGUUGGGAAAGAAAAGCAGCAGGUUAAUACCCCGCUGUUCUGACGGUACCCAAAGAAUAAGCACCGGCUAACUUCGUG